rnacentral:rRNA from 1 species
GAUGAACGCUGGCGGCGUGCCUAAUACAUGCAAGUCGAGCGAACGGACGAGAAGCUUGCUUCUCUGAUGUUAGCGGCGGACGGGUGAGUAACACGUGUAUAACCUACCUAUAAGACUGGGAUAACUUCGGGAAACCGGAUCUAAUACCGGAUAAUAUUUUGAACCGCAUGGUUCAAAAGUGAAAGACGGUCUUUCUGUCACUUAUAGAUGGUUCCGCGCUGCAUUAGCUAGUUGGUAAGGUAACGGCUUACCAAGGCAACGAUGCAUAGCCGACCUGAGAGGGAGAUCGGACACACUGGAACUGAGACACGGUCCAGACUCCUACGGGAGGCAGCAGUAGGGAAUAUUCCGCAAUGGGCGAAAGCAUGACGGAGCAACGCCGCGUGAGUGAUGAAGGUCUUCGGAUCGUAAAACUCUGUUAUUAGGGAAGAACAUAUGUGUAAGUAACUGUGCACAUAUUGACGGUACCUAAUCAGAAAGCCACGGCUAACUACGUG